CAAUGAAUCUGCGACCCUGUGCACUUCAUGUCCAAAAGGCACAUAUCUGCUGGCCCAGGCCUGUGUCUCCUCCUGUCCCGAAGGCACGUGGGCCUCGGCGAGGAGUGGCAGCUGCGAGAACUGUACCGAGGGCUGCGACUCCUGCUCUGGGGCCGAUCUCUGCAGAAAGUGCCGGACUUGGCCAGACUUCCCUCUCCUCCUCCACGAAGGCAGGUGCUACAGCAAGUGUCCCAAGGGCUCCUAUGCAGAAGAUGGCACGUGUAAGCACUGCAGCUCUCCUUGCAGCACGUGCGAAGGAAACGCCACCAACUGCCACUCUUGCCAAGGAAGCCUCAUCCAACACCAGGGAGCAUGCUGGGAAGCCUGCCCCGAGAGGCACGUGGCCGUGGACGGGGUGUGCAAGCAUUGCCCUGAGAUGUGUCAGGACUGCAUCCAUGAGAAGACAUGCAAAGGUACAUAGGAGAAUCCCAGGGGAGAGUGUGGCUGUCCCAAGCCACCGCCCCUGGGGACCGACUAUCGAGGGGGCGGGGGUGUCCAUGCAGAAUGAAGGGAACCAGUCUCCUUACCUUUACCGAAAUCUAUACAACUCUGUGCACAUCGCUGAGGAAAUCAAGGGUGAGAGUAAAGCCUUGCCAUUAUGGAUUCUUCCAGUGAAGACAGAUGAAAGCCCCUCUUCUGCAUGACUUCUUCCGUGCAGGUGUACUGAGCACUUAGGGGUAUGCCAAGCACCAUCCCAGCUGCUCGAGGUAC
rnacentral:lncRNA from 1 species